rnacentral:lncRNA from 1 species
UCACGUCCGACCCGUCCAUCUCGGCCGCGCCCGGGUGAUGCCUUCGGAGAAACGGUAGUCUCGGCAUCGAAGGGCUGAUACAGCGUCAACUCCCGGUCCGCGCCCGCGGCGUCCCCCUGAUCGGUGGGUCCGGACCCGUCUGUCGGCGUCGGAGUCGCCCGGCGGGACUUCUUCGCCGGUGGGGCCCCGCUCGGAGGAGCUCGUUUCUUCCUCCGGACUGCUUCCAGUAGGGACGUCCUACCAACAGCCGUUGCCUUGUCCGACCGCAUGACGUCGUCGAUCUCUGCAAAAAGGC